AUUUGUUUAGAGUUGUUCUGGCUUGUAAAUGGUGCUUAAUUUGUGCAGAUUUCUUUUCUGAUUCAGUCCAGACUACUUUUCACUGGAAGAUGUGUUAUUAUGGAUUAUGCACUCUAUAGAUUUUAGUUAAAACUUCUUGAUGAUGGAUUUGUUUCAGCUUUUGUCUUCUCCUGAUGGACUGGAGUGGUGUGGAUUAUUGUGAUGUUGUAAUCAGCUGUUUGGACUCUCAUUCCGACGGCACCCAUUCACUGCAGAGUAUCCAUUGGUAAGCAGGCUUUGAAAAAAAUCAGCAAGCUCUUGUUUCUUCAAAUCAUCCUUUGGGUCUGCUAUUUUGAAUGCAGCUACAAAGCAGAGCAGAUUAUGAAGCUCCUCGAUCCUCAGCAGGGAAUUUCACACCGGCACACGCAGACCUCUGGUUUUGUCGUGGCAUGUUGCAUAUGCCUUCCUGUACAGGAGCGUGUUCUUCUCUCUGAAAUCAGCUGAGCAAGGUGCCCUGCGCCCGCAGGUUACUGCCAGCCGUGGUGAAUGAAUUUCGACAGCUGCACGGCCACAGAUAGUCACAUUGUGUCAUGACAGAGCUGGGGCCAAAGAGAGGGAGGAAUACAGGAGAGGAAGAGCCUCUCGCUGCUGACCUGAGACCUGUCAAAGCCCCUUCAGCCUGCUGUGCCAUCACGUCAACAACAUCUGCUAACAAUCUGCCUACAAUUAGUCAGAUGCCCGGGAAGCUUUCGUCAAGCGACACCUGUUCAUUCUGCCAUCGCAGGAGGACACGUUCUGGCAGAGGGCCGAAUUAAACACACCGCUUUCUGCUAAAAUACAGAAAAUAGUGCAGGUUCUCAUUUGCUGAAGUGAAAGUCAACCUGACAUCACAAGCGAUAUUUGCUUUUUCAAUAUAUGCUCCUGCUCCUGUGUAUGAUUCAUCUGUGCACAUAAAAUCGCUCGUAAUCUUUCAUCAAAAUGUAAUAACCUGCUCUGAAAUGUUCCUUUUCAGCGGACGUGAUCAGUCCCUUCAGGGCAGGUCGGUCCAAUUGGCAAAGCAUCUUGCUGAGGCCUUCAGGCAGCUAUUUCCAGUCUUGAAGCUUUUGGCUUCACAAGACCUCAAUUGAUGGACUGGAGUGGGAUGGAUUGCUUGUGGAUUAUUCUGAUGUUUUUAUCAGCUGUUUGGACUCUCAUUACGACGGCACCCAUUCACUGCAGAGCAUCCAUUGAUCCAAUUAAUCCCCGGAGAGUUGGUACGAGAGAAGCUGCAGCCGACACAAAGAUGAAGCUUGUUUUACGUCAGAUCAUGGCAACCUGAAACAUUUGUCUCCUGGCCACUCGUCGACUUCUCUGGUGUGAAACCGCUUCUCUCGUGUUCUUCUGCAGAGCCGGUUUCAUCCCAGACUUGAUUUGGCACGCUUCUCUAACCUGGGCCAGGCUUGGCUAAACUGUGUCUAGCUGUGGUCUCGGCGGAUUGUUGUUGGAAUCAGGAGGGUCUCGCGGUAAACACGCGGCUCUCAGCGUGUCCAGACGCUGUGCUUUGAAGCUCUGCUGUGUGAUGGCUGGCAGCACUACACACGGCCACAAGACAGGAG
ensembl:lncRNA